GGCGCCUGCCAUAAUCCAUUAGGCGCUGCCCGGCAGCGCGCACUCUCGGCGGUAGGGACCAGCUCAUGUUGGAGAAAGAGCCUCUUCGGAACUGCGAGGCUGCAGCCACCGGGAGCAGGCGGGCUGUUCCCGGCCAACUCGCACUGGCGGGGACUGGCGCCCGAGGCUCUUUCCCGGCACCAGACCCCGGCUCCCCACCCGCUCUGGAGGCAGCAGCGGCUCAGUCCGAGAGUGCGGUGGUAAGGCUAGGCCUGGCACCGGGCUGGAGCCUUGGCCGCGGCGGACCCUGCAAUCCCGCAACCGGCGACUGGAGCCCACCUCUGCAGAGACAAAGGAGCUGCUCAGGUGUACUGUCCCUGAAAGGAAAUGUCCCUGACUGGCCUCCAGAAUUCCCCUCAUAUGCAUGGUCAUCCAGAUUUGCCUGAAAGAGAUACCAACGGAUUCAGCAAACAUCAGGGAAGCAGAGAAUACAACCCUGGAUAUGAAAGAGCAGAAUCUUCUGCAUUGAAGAAUUAAGCAGUAUUUUUAGUUGCACAAGCAAAUGCAGCAAAUUGUUGGGCCUUCUAAAGCCCAGAACACGUUACUCUGUGGAACUGAUCAAAGAGAUUGUCUGAUUCUAGAAUUUUCUGAGAAAUAAUCUCAAUAGUCAGUUUACCUCAUCCUCCCCUCCCCCUUUACCCAAAUAGAAGCAGAGCUUUAUAAUCUUGUUUUUCAGCUUUGGGAAUAAGGACUGAUAAGAAACUCUUUGCACAGGGAAGGUAGCCAUGUUUGCACUCCACUCCCCUUCCCAUGCAGAUGUUGUGACGUUCUGCGCUUUGUGGAACCUCACAAAAUGGCAUCCCUAAACUGACUUUUCUCUAGAAACCAUUGAGACCCAUCCUCUUUUGUGUUUCUGGUCUUUACAAAUAGAGAGCCUAAAUCAUUCUAAAGCCUUGGUUCCUUUAUUUAGUGUUAGCGUUGGAGGGUCCUAUUUUUCUCAAAACAAGUUUACAGGCUGAUAGCCUGCUGCAGUCCAGGCAGGACAGGAAAAAAUGCUGCCUGGGUUUGCAAAGGGUUCUCUAGAUUUAUGCAAAUUUCUGCAGCAAAAAUGUUUGCUGAUUGCCACAAACCUUCGAUGUUUACAGAUUUGAGCCAAUUAGAAGGGUUUCUUUCUUGUGCACUCUCGCCACUAACAGUCUGUGCAUAAAACACCAUGAUGGGCGUUGCGGUGGUGUUUAACCCCUGUAAGAAAGAUGGUGACUAUAUGUGUGCUGUACAAUUCUUCAAGGUCAUUACUUGGAGAUGAAGCUAUGCUCUUUUCCAGCUACAGAAGGAAACAUAUAUACCUAUACUUAUAAUCAGCACUUCCUGCAUGUGUGAACUUUAUGUAAAUGUACAAAUGCAUGUUUUGAAAUACAGCAGUUAUUCCAACAGAAUAAUUUUCUGUGCAUGAGCUAAAAUUUUACUACGGGCUAAGAGGCAGGUGGGACCAGAAGGUACAAUACUUUCAGAGUGGCACAGAAUGCCAAGGAAAUCAUGUUUUUGUCCCCACUUCAUUCCACACCUACCCAUGUGCUAGGUCUUGUCAAAAUCAGUGGCUCUGCAAUUGGUAUUUGGGAGUAUCACAGGAGACAGUGAGUUUUGCUAUUAUACAGGAGUCCCUUACAUUGAGGGGACUUGGAAUUUAGCCAAUUUAUGCUUGAGGCUGUUUCUCAGUCAUUCUCCUAGGGCUUGAUAUCAUUACUCCGCAAGAGGACAGCAGUCUUGGGCAGUGCACAGUGCAAACUGUUCCAAAUGCAGCAUGCCCCUUUGCAGCUGUCUCCUCCUGUGCAAAUGUUUAAGCCCCAGGCCACCCGUGACUUAAAACUGUCUUGGCUGGCUCAGGUCGGUGAAUGUCACAGCCACAGCCUAUUCCCAGUGUGGAAAGCCAAGUGGUGCUUUGCCUGUGACCUGUCCAGUACCAACAUUCUCUGUGAAGCAGCAGGCAAAAAGCUUGCCACCACCUCAGGGGCUAACCAUGGCCGGAAGCUACAGGAUUCCAUUUUCUUAAAUGUGCAAAAACACUCUGGAAAUUAAAAUGUGUCUCCUUAAAAAUAAACAUGACUAAAAAAAGCAGAGAGCUCUUCAAUAUCUACCUAAUAAAGGUGCUUUUCAUUUU